UUCUCACUUGCCUCCCCUAGGCUUGAGGCUCCUGUCUCCAUCCAAUUCCAGAGACUUUUGGUGUGCGGAUAUCUCUCAUGUCUGGGUCAUGCCUGGGUGCGGCUCUGAGUCCUCCUCGGGAGAUGGGCUGUGUCUUCCCCUGCAGAACUAUGGAAAGCCAGCAGGGUGGCACAUGUCUUUGGGCAAUGAGUUUCAGGACAGCCUGGUUUACACAGUGACUUCCUGGACAGACAGCACUACACAGGGACAUCCUGUCUCAAGCAAGCAAGCAAGCAAGCAAGCAAGCAAGCAAGCAAGCAAGCAAGCAAACAAAUACAAAAGAUAUGGAAGGAAGGAUAACAUGACUUAGAUUCUGUCGGGAAUCAGGAUCCCUCAAGCACAGCCCGAAGCCGUUCCAGGGAGAAUGCAGUCAGAGUCUCAUCACCCAUGCAAGUCAGAUGGAAGCUGGAUGUCAGCUCACUGCCCUCCUGCAGUCCCGGCUGGCCCAACCGCCUAUGGUAUGCCGGACACCACACAGCAAGCUCCCAGUCCGACCUCCUAUGAUUGAGGGCAGAAGCCACGCGUGCUUAACGCUGUCAGCCCAGAGUCUUUGUACAUUUUAUGGGUCACCCGAGAGCACACUUUGUACCACAGAGUCACAAAUGUUUGCUGAAUGAAUGGCUGGCUGCUGGACACCCUUGUCACCCUUGUCAAGGGUGACCUCUUCCACUGUCAGACUGCCCCCCAGCCUGGGAAAACUCUGCCUCAUGCAAGGACCCCAUCGUGCAGAGUGUGCCCUCCUGGCCCUUGUUACUGGUUGCCUUGUCCCAUGCUGACUGCCUCUGCACUCGAAGAGCGAGGAUCAGAAGAGGUAAGAUGUGUGAAUACCCCAGGAAAUGGAGAAGUUAUUUUAUCUGAAUCCAGCCAUCACUCAAUGAGGCCUCCUGAAGUGAAACCGCUGUGCCAAGCUGCCAGGGGAUACAGAUGUGAAUCUCUGUCUGCUUCGAGGGAGCCAUGGUACACAGGGGAACAAACUCAUUAAGACUAAUUGGAGAGGCGGGAACGCCAUGCCUGAGAAAGAGAAAUGGUGGUCUGUUCUCUUCAAAAAGGAAGCAGCCAGAAUGUAGGCUGGGUCCCAAACACUGGCUGUCCAACUGCUGGCGAGUUGGGCGGAGGUGUUCUUACCCUUUUCUUACCCUUCUUAUUGGGCCAGCGUAAGCUCUGGGAUGAAGCUCAGCAGUGGCAGCGCAGGAAAGCCUCGCCACCUGCUUUCGCCGACUCUCCUGAGAAGGGACAAAACUAAGCAGGAGGGUCCCGGGCAGGCAGAGUGGCUGCCCCCCUGAACGGCAAGGACUCCUUUGAACCUGGCCGGCAUUAUUUACAUACUAUUCACGAUGUGCUAAAUAUCCUUAAAUUGUUUGUUUUCAGAAGCAAGUUCAACACUGGCUCCUGUAAUUUUGUUUACACUAUUAAUUCACUCAGCCAACCAUGUCUUCAUGGAGAGAACGGAGAUAAGCAUGCUGAAUUGCUAUACAACCCAGCAAGCGGAAAGGAUGGUGAAGGAGUCGGGAGAGAAGCAGGCUACACUGGACUCUAGCUAGAUUCCCUUGGAGCCUUACCUCAGACCUGAGUACUACCCAAAAAGGCCCUACCUGAAAACAGAAUGACUGAAUGACUCACUCCUAAGGUCACAGCAUGUAAUAGAUAUCCAAGUGAGAGCCCUUUUGUUUGCUUAUAUAUGUGUGCAUGUAUUUAUUUUUUGUGACAAGAUUUCUCUGUGCAGCCUUGGACUCGCUUAGUAGACCAGGCUGGCUUUGAACUCACAGAGAUCUGUCUGCCUCUGCCUUCCGGAGUACUGGGAUUUACCAGAGUGUGCUACCUCGCCCAGUUGCAAGAUUCCUUUUACAUCUACUGGUAGCAAAGAUCCUAAAAGGAAGAAAAGACUGUGUGUGUGCAGGCAAUAUGCAUGUCACAGCAUGCUUGCGUGUGGUCAGAGGACAACUCUGUGGAGCGGGCUUCGGGACUGAACUCAGGUUGUCAGGCCUUUAAAACAAGAGCGUUUACCUGUUGAGCCUCCACUCAGGCCCAGAUCCAAAACAAAAGGCUGCAGGAGGCCAGGCAGGUACUGCUUUCCGGACUCCUAAGUUUCUUGAACAAGGGCUGCAAGCAUGCUAGGCAAGCUCCCUGCCACUGAGCUACAGCCUUGGAAGUUUCCUGGCUUUUUUUCCCCCCAUGUUAUAUAGCAAAAGUUGGCUUCUAACUCGUGAUCCUCCUGCCUCAGCUUCCCAAGUGCUGGCAUUACAGGCAUGUGUCACCAGCUUUGAGACCUUAAAGGUAAGAAAGGGAAGGCACUAACCUAUGAGGUGGUAGAAAAAAGAAAACACUCCAGGGAUGGAGAUAUACUA